GGUAAUUUUGUUUAUCCGUUCAUUGAUGGAUGGAUAUUUUUUGUAACCUUUGGCUACUCUGAAUGAUACUGCCAUGUAUAUUGAUGUGCAAGUUUUUGUGAGAAUAUGUUUUCAUUCUGUUGGCUGUACAGUUGGCCAGCCAUAUCUGUAGUUUCCACUUCAUAGAUCCAGAUGGCUGAUUGUAAACGGACUCGAACAUCCUUGGAUUAUGGAAUCCAGGAUGGGGGGUUCCUGAAACCAACCCCCCGAGGAUACUAAGGGAUGACUCUACAUGUAGGAGUGAAAUUGAUGAGCCAUAUAACUCUAACCUUUUGAGGAAACAACAGACUUCUCCAAAGAAGCUGCACCAUUGUCCCUUUCCACUGGCCGCAUAUGAGAUACCCAGCUUUCCCUGCACCAUUUGUUGAAUAGACUAUUCUUUCCAUGGAGUGUUGUUGGCAGCCUUGUGGAAAACUGACUGUAAAUGUAAGUUUUUUCCCCCUGGGAUUUUAUUGUGUCUCAUAGAUUUAUUUAUCCAAACUUAUGCCAGUACCAUACUGACUUAGUACUAUAGGUUUUUAGUACCCUUUAAAGUGAGUCCUCCCACUUUGCUCUGCUUCUUCAAGAUUGCUUUGGCUGUCCUGGGCCCCUUGCACUUCCAUAUGAAUUUUGGGAUAAGUUUUUCAAUUUUUGCAAAGAAGUCAGCUGGAAUUUUGAUAGGGAUUCCACUGAAUUUGUAACUCACUUUGGGGA